UACGGGGGGGCAAGCGUUGUUCGGAAUUACUGGGCGUAAAGGGCUCGUAGGUGGCCAACUAAGUCCGCUGUGAAAUCUCGAGGCUCAACUUCGAGCUGUCGGUGGAAACUGUCUGGCUAGAGUCCGGAAGAGGAGAAUGGAAUUCCUGGUGUAGCGGUGAAAUGCGCAGAUAUCAGGAAGAACACCCGUGGCGAAGGCGGUUCUCUGGGACGGUACUGACGCUGGAGACGCGAAAGCGUGGGGAGCGAACAGG
rnacentral:rRNA from 1 species